rfam:Picea glauca, whole genome shotgun sequence.
GCAGACAUAGCCAAGUGGACCAAAGCAGUGGAUUUUGAAUCCACCAUGCGCAGGUUCAAUUCCCAUCGUUCGCC